rnacentral:misc_RNA from 1 species
UCUGCUUUGACUGCACAUUUUCAUUCUGACAGAGUUGACUCAACCUCUUCUUUUGAUGUUAAAUCUAAGCUUCCUGAUGAUUCAAACUCGCUAUUUGUUCUCCCCUCUCCCGAUCAAGACCAUAGUAGUGCUAUGUUGCACUUGGCUAGUAAAAGUGAGGCAAAAGAUCUGGAAAGGGGUGCACCACUUGAGGACCUUUACUUCGAUUAUGUUGAUCCUCAUGGGAAUACUCAAGGACCAUUUCUUGGAGCUGACAUCAUCAUGUGGUUUGAAGAGGGCUAUUUUGGGACAGAUUUGCCAGUUCGCUUGGCAGAUGCUCCUGAAGAUACAUCUUUCCAGAGUUUGGGAGACAUCAUGCCACACCUAAAACUGAGGGGAAUGUUUCCCAGUUCUUUGCAGGAACCGUCUAGUGCUUCAGGAGGAAAGUUGGAGCCUGGUUUGCCUCCUGCUGCUCCAGAAAAUACUGAUUCAGCUGCAGUAAAUGAGUUGUGCCAGCCAAUGUCUGACUUAAGUAGCCUCUCAGCUCAGCAUGUUCAGUCAAGAAUG